GAUCAGCAGCCCUGGGAGUAACAUCUCCUGGCAGAGCUCCUGCUUCAGGAACAGCUUGGAGAUCAUUGUCUCAGCUUUCCUGGAACCUGGUCCCAUGUUCUCCAUUGUGUUGAUCCAGACCUUGACCUGAUGCCUCGGUAACCUGUACCCUUGCUUACCUGAAGGUCCAGCUGAACCCUUACAUUGGAGGCCCUGAUUCUGCAGAGACCCAAGAACACCCUACACUGUACAUAGAACUGUCUUGCUGUAAACAGUACCAGUGGCACAGUAAUAUUGAAGUGCCCUAGCUUUCCUGACUAGCUUCUACAUAAGCAAAGAAGGAUUAAGAGCGUUCCUGCCUGCCUAAAGUCAGCCUUUUGGAUGAGAGAGAUGGAUCUCCAGCAUCAACAGAGAAUCGAUAACCUUGUUGACACUUCAACAAGGUGGGAUUACAGGUGACACCCAGGGAGCCUCUAGGGAAGAAAGAGAAAUAAAGAUAAUGAUCUGAUGGACAGAACAGCUUGUAAAGGAGGGCUGCUGGCUAAUGACUGGGAGAGUCAGAAGCAAGGGAACAGCCAGGCUACUUUGGGGUACUCUGGCUGUGCAGACUAGAGAAAGAACAGCUGAGAUAGCUUUGGGGUGCUCGGGGCUUUUGUGGGCUAGGCUGGAGACAAAGGGCUGCCUAACCCUUUGGGUGGGAUCUUUUUACUCUGUGGCCUUUGCCCCAACUAAAUGCCCUCACUGAAGAGAAACUGUCUGCUUUGAUGCUUCGACCUUUGGGGUGGAAUUCUCCCUGUGCACUGCUCCCUAUCAAGAGAUGAAAUUCUUCCCUCAGGAGCUGAAUUGGAAGGAAGCUCUCUAAGACAGGGCUAUAGAGAAGCCAAGGGAGGGUCUGGGAUUGAAAGACCAGUCUCAGAGUCUGAAAAUGCUUCCAGGGAACUGUCACAGAGAACAGACAAGGCUGUAGAGGUUCUAGGUAAGAGCUCUCCCAUGAAACCAUUAAAUGGUGAGCUGACCACCGCUUUAGAAUCUCAUUCAUUUACAAUACUAGAGAGUGGAAUCCAGUGCAUACAGACAUUUCGGGGCUUGGUGUUUUUCCAGAAUAGAGGUUCUCUCUUGUGCACAGUUCCAGCUUGCCUUUAGCACGUGCUAAAAGAGGUUAUAGUAUAAUAUAUUAACUUUGUUUUACAAUGGCUAAUAAUAGCAACCAACGACAAGACCUAUCAGACUACUGCAGAAGCAAAGCUCCAAGUCAGAUGAGUGCAAGAUGUGAGAUCUUGAUAGUAUAUAUAGCAUCUAUUAUUUACUUUCUUAUCUCUAUAAAAUGUUUGUAAAACAAAAGAUAUGUUUUGUUUGGACUUAAGCAAAUUUUUGUUCCCUAUCCUAAAAUGUCAAGAUUAACUAGACAAAACAAUAUUGUGAGCCUCCAGGAAAGCAGACCUUUUACAUCCUAUGAAGUUUGUAGCCUGUGAAAAAAUACACACAAAAUGCAACUAAUCCAAAUUUUAGAUAAAAAACUCAUAUAUGAAUAUAUUUGUGUUAUUAAUUUUUCCCAGAAAAAAAGAUUUAUUUACAUAAUAUUUUCCUACAUAUUCCCCCUGCUGUUAUUGAAAGUAUUUGGAUUUAAUAAAUGGUUUCUCAGCACCACAUCCCAAAUCAUCUUUCUGCUUGAUCAUGCAAUAAAGGCAAAGUUUAUACUUAUGAGACAUUGUUAAUACUAUGAAAAUUACUACACUUUUAUUCCUCAAAUUUCAACCUUGUAUGAGUAACCACA